rnacentral:lncRNA from 1 species
CAUUGGCAGACAGUGCGCAGGCGCGUUCCCUUCCGAGCCCGGUGUUUUGGGAGAGUGUUUGGUGUCCGGCGCGCGUGGGCGGACCGUACCCGAACGCCCCGCACCUCUACCGCUUCCGCCCGGGACGCACGCUGCGUGGCCACGCUGAGUUUGGUCGGAAGCGGGAUCAGUGCGUGGACAGGUGGCUCGGGCUGCUGCGGGGAGUGGAGCGGGGAUUUGGUCUGCGGCUACGCCGCCUCCAGGGAUUCCACUUGGUUGUCCUGUCCAGCGGUCUUGUAGUUUAA